GUAAAAGCUAAGCUCAAAAAUGGAAUCUACGCAAAAAAUCGAGUGAAGAGGUGUAUUUUGAGAAAAUUUGGCGAUCGGAAAAUUUGCCGGCGGUGGCGCCACCCGCGACUGCUAUGACCACCAGCUGAAGCUCCUUCAGUAGGCCGAACAAGAAGAAGAAGAAACGGAAGUGGAAAGAAGAAGAAAAAAAAACCAAAAGAAAAGAAAGGAAAGAAAAGAAAGAAGGAAAAUGAAUUGGGCUAAUGUUUUAUAUUUUUGUGGGCUAGUUUC
rnacentral:lncRNA from 1 species